AUGUUUUCAAGUAUGAAUGAAGUUUUUAGCAACUUUUUUGCUUAUAUUUUAUUUGAAUUAUUUUUUCGAUUAAAAAUUAUUGGUUAGAGUAUUACAAAGAUAAGUCUUCGGAAAUUUUGUUUUGAAUUUUAAAAUUUUUAAUUUUUAAUAUUUUCUUGGGGAUGGAUUUUAUGAAAUUUUUAUACUAUUAUUAUUUUUAAAAAUUACUCCGGAGUUAACAGGGUUGUAGACAUAUAAAUAGGUUUUUAUAUUAGUGUGCUGCGCUACAUCGAUGUUGUAUAUUUUUUUUUGAAAUGGAGAGAAUUUUUUUGUUUUGAGACUGUUCUUCUUGUAUAAAAAAUUGACUUGAUAUUAGUUUAGUUCGUCGUGAGACAGAGCGGUUUAUCU
rnacentral:rRNA from 1 species